rnacentral:rRNA from 1 species
GGGCCUGCACAAGCGGUGGAGCAUGUGGUUUAAUUCGAAGCAACGCGCAGAACCUUACCAGCCUUUGACAUCCUGGUCGCGGUUAGAGGAGACUCUUACCUUCAGUUCGGCUGGACCAGUGACAGGUGCUGCAUGGUUGUCGUCAGCUCGUGCCGUGAGGUGUCAGGUUAAGUCCUAUAACGAGCGCAACCCCUACCGUUAGUUGCUACCAUUUAGUUGGGCACUUUAAGGAAACUGCCGGUGAUAAGCCGGAGGAAGGUGGGGAUGACGUCAAGUCCUCAUGGCCCUUACAGGCUGGGCUACACACGUGCUACAAUGGCGAUGACAGUGGGCAGCGACCCCGCAAGGGUGAGCUAAUCUCCAAAAGUCGUCUCAGUUCGGAUUGUCCUCUGCAACUCGAGGGCAUG